UGGGGAAUAUUGCACAAUGGGCGCAAGCCUGAUGCAGCCAUGCCGCGUGUGUGAAGAGGGCCUUCGGGUUGUAAAGCACUUUCAGCGAGGAGGAAGGUGGUGAGCUUAAUACGCUCAUCAAUUGACGUUACUCGCAGAAGAAGCACCGGCUAACUCCGUGCCAGCAGCCGCGGUAAUACGGAGGGUGCAAGCGUUAAUCGGAAUUACUGGGCGUAAAGCGCACGCAGGCGGUUUGUUAAGUCAGAUGUGAAAUCCCCGGGCUCAACCUGGGAACUGCAUUUGAAACUGGCAAGCUAGAGUCUCGUAGAGGGGGGUAGAAUUCCAGGUGUAGCGGUGAAAUGCGUAGAGAUCUGGAGGAAUACCGGUGGCGAAGGCGGCCCCCUGGACGAAGACUGACGCUCAGGUGCGAAAGCGUGGGGCAGCAAACAGGAUUAGAUACCCUGGUAGUCCACGCUGUAAAACGAUGUCGAUUUUGGAGGUUGUGCCCUUGAGGCGUGGCUUCCGGAGCUAACGCGUUAAAUCGACCGCCUGGGGAGUACGGCCGCAAGGUUAAAACU
rnacentral:rRNA from 1 species